GAUGCCCCUAGAGGCAUUACAGGCUUGGCUGCUGUGUCACACGGACGUCAGUAGGUGGCAGAGAGGAGAGGCUAUGUCUAUGCUCAGCGUUCUGACCUAUGGACAUCUGAAGGAUUAGUAGUAGCUUAACAGU